AGGUCCCAGACUCCUCCCCCUUCCCCUCACCCUCCUCCAUGCACAUGUCUUCCACAGGCCUGAUCACAUUCUCUUCUGUCCCCUCCUUCUCCUAAUAAAACUCUUAUAGUGGGUUUUCUCUUACCUUGUGGCUUUUCUCGAAAGGGAUAUUGUGCCGCUGAAUAAAAUCAACAUUGAUGCGGAGACGAAGCAGGCUCUCCUAGCGCUCUGCGCCCGGAACCUGUGCCAAGGUUUUGCUCCGUCUAUGACUGCCUGCUUUUUUCAUUUGCCAGGCUGCCGGACCACUCCGCACAAUAUUGGCUGCUCAGAUUGGACAGCAGGCAGUUGAGGCUGUCCAUGUCUGCAGACUCUAUGUAGUUCUUCAUCAUCAGCAUCAUCUGGUGGGCUCUCGCUAUCCCGAAGUGAACUUUGGUUUCAUCCAUCAGCUCCGUUUUCAUGAGCUCCACUGUGGUACGGAAAGCUUGCUGGAAGUACUCGGAAGCCUUGCUGUACUGCCCCUAGUGAGCAAGAGAGAACACUUUUUUAUUUCUUACCUCACCCAUUUCACAGAUUUGCUCAUCUCACCUCGGCACACCCAUUUUUGAAGAGAAAGAGCUGGCAAGCUGGCUUUUCAUCAGAAGGCUGUCUUCGGCGAGCAGUGGUCACUUGAUGGUCAGAAUCUUGAAAUUAAUUUGGUUAGAAAGCUACAUCUGUGGCUGAAACACAUGAAGUGCACAGCAGCAGGAGGAAGCUGGGGGAAAGUGAGCUGGUUGCCACGAUUUCAGCACAAUGUUACUAAUUAUGGCAUUGUAUGUGUCCAGUGAAAUGUAUUCAGCUGUCUCUUGUUUUUAUUUGUAGCAGGAGGGCAUUGAAUGCCAUGUCAGUGGUGACAGCUGACACGGGCAGCUCUCUGCUGAUGCGGGCCACUGCCUCUCUCCUGACGGACCUGCACCGCUUGGCUAAGAUCAUGGGAGAAUCGAGAUUUAAAACAUGACUGUAAUGUGGCUAGAACAAGAGAAGGUGGGAGGGGUUGAGGAGGGCAUAUGACUUCAGCCCCUGGCCUCUACAUGCGUGUGUACCCACACAGCUGUGCCCGCUACAUGUGAACACUCAUACACACACAGAGAAAAAUAGAUAGAGAUAUUUAAAACAUGGUUGAACACUCCUUUCAAAAGAAACUUUCACAGGAGAGUUUUUUUUUUUUUUUUGCAGUAAAAUUUUAAUCCCUAUUCCCAUACUUUGUGAAAGAAUGGGCAUUCAAACCCCAUGGAUACAUCUUCAGGCCACACACCAGCGCAGAGGGGAUGAGCCUCAAUCCACAGCCCUCUGUGCAGUGGGGCAGGCAGAUGAGCGGUCACACUGAUUGACAGCGGGAUGUGAUGAGCGGUCACACUGAUUGACAGCGGGAUGUGAUGAGCGGUCACACUGAUUGACAGCGGGAUGUGAUGAGUGGUCACACUGAUUGACAGCGGGAUGUGAUGAGCGGUCACACUGAUUGACAGCGGGAUGUGAUGAGCGGUUACUCUCAUAUGCAUCACGUGUAACACUAUCCAAUAAGCAAAGUCAAAAUAAAUGAGUGUUUUCUAAAGUUUUCUGCAGGAAAUCACAACCAGGCCUAACAUCAAAUUUGAAGUCUCCAAAAAGAUGAUGGGGCCCCACAACAAUGAUUCCACAUGGACAAUAAUAAUACCACAUCACCCAUGGAUCAGCUUUGGACUACAAACUGCUCAGAACAAUUUCGAAUUGGCUAGCUGAGAUGAUCCAGUUUCACAGACUACUUGAACAAGGACUUGAGAUAAGCCCUGAACUUUGGCAUUAUGCAGAGACUGGACAACAAAUGAUAUAGCCACCUUUCCUAGAACUUGACAAUUAACCCCCAAUUUUUCUUUUCAGAAUAAAGAUGCCUUUGCCCACAACCAGCAGGAAGCAAUUUUAAGAACACAAUGCCCACAUUCCCAAAGAGAUAGUGUGGGCAGGUGGUUUUUGGUCUUUCAAUGAGGUUUGGAUUUGGGAUAAUUUUCAUUGUUUAGGAGGGUUGGUUACAAGUUGUUGUUAAUGGUUAGGAAAAGGGCUAAGCAAAGGAGAUUAGAUUUAAGGUUCUCGUAAAAAAAAAAAAAAAGAUGUAUAGAAAUGA